UACGGAGGGUGCAAGCGUUAUCCGGAUUCACUGGGUUUAAAGGGUGCGUAGGUGGUUUUGUAAGUCAGUGGUGAAAGCCCGGAGCUCAACUCCGGAACUGCCAUUGAUACUGCUUAACUUGAAUCAACUUGAGGUGGAUGGAAUAUUACAUGUAGCGGUGAAAUGCUUAGAUAUGUAAUAGAACACCGAUUGCGAAGGCAGUUCACUAAGGUCGUAUUGACACUGAGGCACGAAAGCGUGGGGAUCAAACAGG
rnacentral:rRNA from 1 species